AAAAAUGAAUGAAAGGAAGUAAAGAAAUAGAGAAUACUAAAAGAUAGGAAUGAAAGAAAUAGAUAUUAACCAGUGAAAGGGUAGAGAGGAGAGAAAAGAGAAAGGAAAGAAAGAAGGAUUAAGAAAUUUUGAAAGAUAAAAAGGAAAAAAAGAAAAUAAUGAGAUAGGAAGGUAGGAAAAAUGAAGAAAUGGUAGAAAAGGAGAGACAUUAAAGAAGGACAGGAGGAAGAAAUGUUGAAAAAUAUAAUAAGAGAAAGAGAGAAGGUAGAAAAAUAUAAGAGAAAGAGAGAAGGUAGAAAAAUAUAAGAGAAAGAGAGAAGGUAGAAAAAUAUAAGAGAAAGAGGGAAGGUAGAAAAAUAUAAGAGAAAGAGGGAAGGUAGAAAAAUAUAAUAAGAGAAAGAGGGAAAGUAGAAAAAUAUAAUAAGAGAAAGAGGGAAGGUAGAAAAAUAUAAUAAGAGAAAGAGGGAAAGUAGAAAAAUAUAAGAGAAAGAAGGAAGAUAGAAAAAUAUAAGAGAAAGAGGGAAGGUAGAAAAAUAUAAGAGAAAGAGGGAAGGUAGAAAAAUAUAAGAGAAAGAGGGAAGGUAGAAAAUUAUAAGAGAAAGAAGGAAGGUAGAAAAAUAUAAUAAGAGAAAGACGGAAGGUAGAAAAAUAUAAGAGAAAGAAGGAAGGUAGGAAAUUAUAAUAAGAGAAAGACGGAAGGUAGAAGAAUAUGAUAAAAGAAA